rnacentral:rRNA from 1 species
AUACGUAGGGAGCGAGCGUUGUCCGGAAUUACUGGGUGUAAAGGGAGCGCAGGCGGAGAUGCAAGCGUGACGUCAAAUUUCGGGGCUCAACCCCGUCUCGCGUCGCGAACUGCGUCCCUUGGUUGCGGGAAGGGGAGGCGGAACUCGUGGUGUAGCGGUGAAAUGCAUAGAUAUCACGAAGAACUCCGAUCGCGAAGGCAGCCUUCCGGCCCGUCAACGACGCUCAUGCUCGAAGGUGCGGGUAUCAAACAGGAUUAGAUACCCUGGUAGUCCGCACAGUAAACGAUGGACACCCGCGGUUUGGCCUGUAUGGCUGAGCCGCCAAGCGAAAGCGUUAAGUGUCCCACCUGGGGAGUACGCCGGCAACGGUGAAACUUAAAGGAAUUGACGGGA